rnacentral:rRNA from 1 species
AACGCUGGCGGCGUGCCUAACACAUGCAAGUCGAACGCGAAAGUCCCGCUAGGGAUCAGUAGAGUGGCAAACGGGUGAGUAACACGUGGGUGACCUGCCUUCGAGUGGGGGAUAACGUCCCGAAAGGGACGCUAAUACCGCAUGACAUCUUGCUCUUGAACGAGUGGAGAUCAAAGCUGGGGAUCGCAAGACCUAGCGCUCAAAGAGGGGCCCGCGCCUGAUUAGCUAGUUGGUGGGGUAACGGCUCACUAAGGCGACGAUCAGUAUCCGGCCUGAGAGGGCGGACGGACACACUGGGAUUGAGACACGGCCCAGACUCCUACGGGAGGCAGCAGUGGGGAAUUGUUCGUAAUGGGCGCAAGCCUGACGACGCAACGCCGCGUGGAGGAUGAAGACCUUUGGGUCGUAAACUCCUUUCGAUCGAGACGAACGGCCUCCGGGUGAACAAUUCGGAGGAGUGACGGUACCGAGAGAAGAAGCCCCGGCUAACUCCGUGCCAUCAGCCGCGGUAAUAAGGU